UCGUGGAUUGAUUUGUCAGGUUAAUUCCGUUAACGAACGAGACUUCCGUUUGUUUAUUGGAAGUCCGCAUGGUGUGGCGCACUCAUUUAGGAGGACCAUGUGCGCCUAGCACGAAGAAGCGCGAAGCAAUAACA
rnacentral:rRNA from 1 species